GUCAGGUGGAGACCCCGGUGAGAGACCCACACAGACAGAGCCAGACGGACAGACACCCAGACAAACAGGAGUGGACUCGGAGAGCUGGAUGGGGAAUAGAAAGCACACACACACGCGCGCGCGCACACACACGCGCACACACACACGCACACACACACACGCACACACACAGCUGUGCUUACGCACACAACGCAGCCAAGAGUCACUUCCCCCCCAGCCGUGGGUCCUCCCGGGAGCCAGGAGCUCCAGGAAUCUUACUAGGGGCCUCCCCAGCCCAGCUACUCAGAGUGUGGUCCGUGAACCAGGGCCAGAGGCCUCGGCACCCGUGGGAGCUGUGAGACCUGCAGAGUCCCAGGCCCACCCCAGACCUGCAGCAUCAGAUGUGCGUCUUUACCAGAGCCCCGGGAGAUUCACAGGCACGUUUAUCUGGAGCCUUUGAAAUGCAAAUCACUCCAAGCUUCAGCCAGGGAAACUGGAUUCUAUAGGACCUCCAACUGACCUCCACAGCCUGCUCCAAUCUCCGAGCAGGCAGGAGUCUGUGGCCUGCUUCCGAAGAUCAAAGGGCCAUUGUUCACCUAGAGUCACCACCAGAAAACCCAGAUUAGUGAGUACUUCCACCACCAUCGGUCUUAAUAUCAAACCUCUACUAACAUGGACAGGACUCAGAGGCUUUGGCCACUGGGCUUCAAGCUGCUCAAGGAGAGAAGCUACUGCGACAUCUCAAAAGAGGGAUAGGUAUCAGGAGCAGUUGCUAUGAGGAAAGCCAUGAUGUGAGCAGUCCUAUGGUGGAGCCCACAUGCUGACGAACUGCAGGCUUCUGCAAUCAGCCUCCUGAGUGAGCUCGAAAGUGGAGUCUUUAGUCUCAAUCUUCAGAGACGGAAGCCCUGACUGCUGCCUCCUGAGAGAUGCUGAGCCAGAACUGCUCAGCUGAGCUACUGCAGGAUUCUGACCCUCAGAAACUGGUGAGAUAGAAAAUGUUUGGUGCUUUAAACUGUUGAGUUUGGGGAUAAUUUGUUACACAGUGGUAGAUAACUAAUAUCGAUUUUAAUUAAAAAACAGAUUUUGUCAGGUUGGAUAAAAAAGCAAGACCCACCACUUCACACCCAUUAGGAUGGCUAAUAUUUUACAAACAACAACAAUAGCAAACAGAAAAAAACAAGUGUUGGCAAAGAUAGAGAGACAUUGGAACUCUAGUGCAUUGUUGGUGGGAAUAUAAAAUGGUAUAGCUGCUGUGAAAACAGUAUGGUGCUUCCUCAAAAAGAUAAAAGUAGAAUUACUGUGUGAUCCAGUAAUCCCACUCCUAGGUAUAUACCUGAAGGAACUGAGAG